GGUUUCAAGCUGCGUGCUGAGGUCAAGACUGGAGUUCCUCAGGGUCUGAAGAUAAUAUUUAGCUUUUUCUUUAUGCUGUGUUUAUGGAUUAAAUACUUAUGCUUGCUUUGGCUGCUUCCAAAUGACUUCAAGAGGACAGGGCUUGUGAAGUUUCUUUGUAGCCUGAAGAUGGAAGAUCUUACCAGAUGAGGAAAGGCAAUUGCAGCUCAACUGUGAUGAAAGAAUAACACUGACCCUGGAACUGCUGAGAGAGGUAUUGAAUGUGUAGGAUGAAACAGCAAGAAGUCAAAAGCUGCAACAGUCAAGGCUCAGCCUUCAUGGUUCAAGAGGAAAUCACAAGUCAACUCGCUAAACAUAAUCAAUCUAAAGCCCAGAAAACAAGAAAGAUUGAGAAGAGAAUUGAAAGAAGAAAAUCAUUGAAAAGAGAAGUAUUGAAAAGAGGAGAGCUUGUUGAAGUUGGAACUGAAGAAGACAAGAGCUAUUUGUCAGAGUGAGGAUGAGACAAAAAGAGACCAGUGGUCUAAAUGCAGCCCUAGGAAUUACAAUAAUUUAAGAGAAAUGAGGCAAUAAAGACAAAUUCAAAAGGAGGUAGUUCCACAUCCAUAGAAAGACUAAAUCUCAGAUACCAACAGUAUUCAAGAGGUGAUACCUCAGAUGAACAAGGAUGGAAGUUGAUGCAAAGGUUUGGGACUCUGCACAGGAUCUUUCAGUUGCAAUUCGAGAAGUCUGGAUGGUUCAAAAAAGAGGAAGAAGAUAUCAAGAACAAAAAAAAAGUUGCAACACUGAAAUCAUACUAAACCAAUGGGCAGGAAAAAUCAACUAUGAUAGAGAGAGAGAAGCAUUCAAAUUUUUUUUUUUUUUAUUCCA